rnacentral:lncRNA from 1 species
AAGCACAUUUUCUUAUAUGAUUUAAAUAUUCUUAGAAUAUGAUCAUUUAUUUAUUUACUUUAUUUUUAUUUUUUUUUCGCUAGUAUGAUUUAAUACCUUACUUGGUAAAUAUACAAAAUACACCAAAAGCGGCAGGUAAAUAUAUACAUAUAUAUAUUUUAUGCAUAUGAUUACGCGUUAUGUGUAGGUGUCUCUAUACCAUUUCUACGAAUACACAGUUGUAACAUCAUUUUUUUAUUUUAACUUUUUUAAUAAUGCAGAAUUUUAUUUAAAGUCCGAUUUUAAGUUUAAUAUGUAUAAAACGUUAAUUAAUGAGUAUGAAGAAGGAGAUGGUAUUUCCGAGUUUACUAACAUGGAUAGAGAACUGUGUGGAGCAGAUGUUUAUAAUGAAAAUGUAGAACACGUAGUGUGUUAUAUACAACCGAAGAUUAAUGGAUUUUGUCAAAGAAUUAACAAUAUACAAAAUUUUUUUAUGGCCAAUUUGUUGUUCUGUGUAAUGAAGCUAGAACAACUGAAGAACGUUGUACCAACGUAUUUUUAUUUUCUUCCCAGUGAUAAACACUUAUCAUACAAGGAUUGUAUAAUAAGUAGCAAAUUUGAACAUGAUGAUAAUAUACGUUUAAAAAAAUCCGUGCUGGGUACGAAUGUUAAGAUAAAAAAAAAUUCUUUUGUCAGUAGAAGCGUAUUUAUGGAUAACAUUACCAUUAAUGAAAAUUGUCAUAUUUAUAAUUCGAUUAUUUGCGACAAUGUUGUUAUUGAAGAUAAUUGCAAGGUAAGAGAAAAAAAAAAAAAAAAAAAAAAAAAAAAAAAAAGCAGACAAAUAAAUUAAAAAAAUAAAAAUAAAAACAAUACGAGUUUUUUUUUUUUU